rnacentral:rRNA from 1 species
UACAGAGGUGGCAAGCGUUGUUCGGAAUUACUGGGCGUAAAGGGCGCGUAGGCGGCCUUGUAAGUCCUGUGUGAAAUCCCCCGGCUCAACUGGGGAACUGCACAGGAGACUGCUUGGCUUGAGUUCGGGAGAGGGAAGCGGAAUUCCGGGUGUAGCGGUGAAAUGCGUAGAGAUCGGGAGGAACACCGGCGGCGAAGGCGGCUGCCUGGACCAGUCCUGACGCUGAGGCGCGAAAGCUAGGGGAGCAAACAGG